UCUCUCUCUCUCUCUCUCUCUCUCUCUCUCUCUCUCUCUCUCUCUCUAUCUCUAUAUAUAUAUAUAUAUAUAUAUAUAUAUAUAUAUAUAUAUAUAUAUAUAUAUAUAUAUAUAAAAUUGAGCCCCUAUACUUUUAAAAGUAUCAAGUUGUUUGUGCUUAUAGAUUUUUGAUCAUUGGAUUAAGGAAUGUGCGGUUAGAAUGAUAUAAGACCUCUAGAGUUGAGUGGGUGUUGGUUGAAUAGUAUGAUUUUACGGUUGAAAAUAAUCAAAGAGUUAGAUCUAACAGUAAAAAAUUUAAAAGCAUCAAGUGCUUGGUGAUUUUACAAGCAUCAUAGCCGGACUCUCUCUCUCUCUCUAUAUAUAUAUAUACUCACACACAAGUGUAAUGCCCGCAACAUUUAUAAAUUAAAUUAAAUUUACAUAUAAUUUUUAAAUUAAAAUAAAUUUUAAAUCUGUAUUUUAAAUUU
rnacentral:lncRNA from 1 species